GGUGGCAUGUCGCCUCUCGGAUCUCGGCGUGCCCGAUGGCCCCCCUGCCUUGAGGAGCAGCCUUUUUGCUUUCUUUCUUUGGGAUAGGAUGCCUCUGGGGUUCUUUCUCCCGCAGCCGGCUCUGUUUUAGAGCACUUUGCUGCAAGGGACCACCACCUGCACGACCAGAAUAUGACCUGGUUUGCAUAGGCCUCACAGGCUCUGGCAAAACCAGUCUGUUGUCCAAACUCUGCAGUGAAAGCCCCGAUAACGUCGUGUCGACCACAGGUUUUAGUAUUAAAGCAGUGCCAUUCCAGAAUGCCAUCUUGAAUGUAAAAGAACUUGGAGGGGCUGAUAAUAUCCGGAAAUACUGGAGCCGCUACUACCAAGGAUCUCAAGGGGUAAUAUUUGUAUUAGACAGUGCCUCUUCAGAGGAUGAUUUAGAAGCUGCUAGAAAUGAGCUGCACUCAGCUCUUCAGCAUCCACAGUUAUGCACUUUACCCUUUUUAAUAUUGGCCAAUCAUCAAGACAAGCCAGCAGCUCGCUCAGUACAAGAGAUCAAAAAAUAUUUUGAACUUGAACCACUUGCACGUGGAAAACGCUGGAUUCUACAGCCCUGCUCACUAGACGACAUGGAUGCACUGAAAGACAGCUUCUCUCAGCUGAUUAAUUUGUUAGAAGAAAAAGACCAUGAAGCUAUAAGAAUGUGAAAUCUGGCAAAGAAAACGGGCUCCCAAAAGGCCUUGAACCUAUCAUGUUAGUUUCUCAUUUUAAUUUUAUUUUGGUAUCAAGACUAUAUUGGCUUCAGUAUCUAUUUUUCUCUGGU
rnacentral:sRNA from 1 species